GGUUAAGCGACUAAGCGUACACGGUGGAUGCCCUGGCAGUCAGAGGCGAUGAAGGACGUGCUAAUCUGCGAAAAGCGUCGGUAAGGUGAUAUGAACCGUUACAGCCGGCGAUGUCCGAAUGGGGAAACCCAGUGCAAUUCGUUGCACUAUCGUUAACUGAAUACAUAGGUUAACGAGGCGAACCGGGGGAACUGAAACAUCUAAGUACCCCGAGGAAAAGAAAUCAACCGAGAUUCCCCCAGUAGCGGCGAGCGAACGGGGAGCAGCCCAGAGUCUGAAUCAGCUUGUGUGUUAGUGGAACGGUCUGGAAAGUCCGACGGUACAGGGUGAUAGUCCCGUACACCAAAAUGCACAGGUUGUGAACUCGAAGAGUAGGGCGGGACACGUGGUAUCCUGUCUGAAUAUGGGGGGACCAUCCUCCAAGGCUAAAUACUCCUGACUGACCGAUAGUGAACCAGUACCGUGAGGGAAAGGCGAAAAGAACCCCGGCGAGGGGAGUGAAAAAGAACCUGAAACCGUGUACGUACAAGCAGUGGGAGCACCUUCGGGUGUGACUGCGUACCUUUUGUAUAAUGGGUCAGCGACUUAUAUUCUGUAGCAAGGUUAACCGUAUAGGGGAGCCGCAGGGAAACCGAGUCUUAACUGGGCGUUAAGUUGCAGGGUAUAGACCCGAAACCCGGUGAUCUAGCCAUGGGCAGGUUGAAGGUUGGGUAACACUAACUGGAGGACCGAACCGACUAAUGUUGAAAAAUUAGCGGAUGACUUGUGGCUGGGGGUGAAAGGCCAAUCAAACCGGGAGAUAGCUGGUUCUCCCCGAAAGCUAUUUAGGUAGCGCCUCGUGAACUCAUCUUCGGGGGUAGAGCACUGUUUCGGCUAGGGGGUCAUCCCGACUUACCAACCCGAUGCAAACUACGAAUACCGAAGAAUGUUAUCACGGGAGACACACGGCGGGUGCUAACGUCCGUCGUGAAGAGGGAAACAACCCAGACCGCCAGCUAAGGUCCCAAAGUCAUGGUUAAGUGGGAAACGAUGUGGGAAGGCACAGACAGCCAGGAUGUUGGCUUAGAAGCAGCCAUCAUUUAAAGAAAGCGUAAUAGCUCACUGGUCGAGUCGGCCUGCGCGGAAGAUGUAACGGGGCUAAACCAUGCACCGAAGCUGCGGCAGCGACACUAUGUGUUGUUGGGUAGGGGAGCGUUCUGUAAGCCUGCGAAGGUGACCUGUGAGGGUUGCUGGAGGUAUCAGAAGUGCGAAUGCUGACAUAAGUAACGAUAAAGCGGGUGAAAAGCCCGCUCGCCGGAAGACCAAGGGUUCCUGUCCAACGUUAAUCGGGGCAGGGUGAGUCGACCCCUAAGGCGAGGCCGAAAGGCGUAGUCGAUGGGAAACAGGUUAAUAUUCCUGUACUUGGUGUUACUGCGAAGGGGGGACGGAGAAGGCUAUGUUAGCCGGGCGACGGUUGUCCCGGUUUAAGCAUGUAGGCUGGUUAUCCAGGCAAAUCCGGAUAAUCAAGGCUGAGGUGUGAUGACGAGGCACUACGGUGCUGAAGUAACAAAUGCCCUGCUUCCAGGAAAAGCCUCUAAGCAUCAGGUAACAUCAAAUCGUACCCCAAACCGACACAGGUGGUCAGGUAGAGAAUACCAAGGCGCUUGAGAGAACUCGGGUGAAGGAACUAGGCAAAAUGGUGCCGUAACUUCGGGAGAAGGCACGCUGGUGUGUAGGUGAAGUCCCUGCGGAUGGAGCUGAGACCAGUCGAAGAUACCAGCUGGCUGCAACUGUUUAUUAAAAACACAGCACUGUGCAAACACGAAAGUGGACGUAUACGGUGUGACGCCUGCCCGGUGCCGGAAGGUUAAUUGAUGGGGUUAUCCGUAAGGAGAAGCUCUUGAUCGAAGCCCCGGUAAACGGCGGCCGUAACUAUAACGGUCCUAAGGUAGCGAAAUUCCUUGUCGGGUAAGUUCCGACCUGCACGAAUGGCGUAAUGAUGGCCAGGCUGUCUCCACCCGAGACUCAGUGAAAUUGAACUCGCUGUGAAGAUGCAGUGUACCCGCGGCAAGACGGAAAGACCCCGUGAACCUUUACUAUAGCUUGACACUGAACAUUGAGCCUUGAUGUGUAGGAUAGGUGGGAGGCUUUGAAGCGUGGACGCCAGUCUGCGUGGAGCCAACCUUGAAAUACCACCCUUUAAUGUUUGAUGUUCUAACGUUGGCCCCUUACCGGGGUUGCGGACAGUGUCUGGUGGGUAGUUUGACUGGGGCGGUCUCCUCCCAAAGCGUAACGGAGGAGCACGAAGGUUAGCUAAUCCUGGUCGGACAUCAGGAGGUUAGUGCAAUGGCAUAAGCUAGCUUGACUGCGAGCGUGACGGCGCGAGCAGGUGCGAAAGCAGGUCAUAGUGAUCCGGUGGUUCUGAAUGGAAGGGCCAUCGCUCAACGGAUAAAAGGUACUCCGGGGAUAACAGGCUGAUACCGCCCAAGAGUUCAUAUCGACGGCGGUGUUUGGCACCUCGAUGUCGGCUCAUCACAUCCUGGGGCUGAAGUAGGUCCCAAGGGUAUGGCUGUUCGCCAUUUAAAGUGGUACGCGAGCUGGGUUUAGAACGUCGUGAGACAGUUCGGUCCCUAUCUGCCGUGGGCGCUGGAGAAUUGAGGGGGCUGCUCCUAGUACGAGAGGACCGGAGUGGACGCAUCACUGGUGUUCGGGUUGUCAUGCCAAUGGCACUGCCCGGUAGCUAAAUGCGGAAGAGAUAAGUGCUGAAAGCAUCUAAGCACGAAACUUGCCCCGAGAUGAGUUCUCCCUGAGACUUUAAGUCUCCUGAAGGAACGUUGAAGACGACGACGUUGAUAGGCCGGGUGUGUAAGCGCAGCGAUGCGUUGAGCUAACCGGUACUAAUGAACCGUGAGGCUUAACCUU
rnacentral:rRNA from 1 species